rnacentral:rRNA from 1 species
UUUACGGGAGGCAGCAGUGAGGAAUAUUGGACAAUGGAGGAGACUCUGAUCCAGCCAUGCCGCGUGUAGGAAGAAUGCCCUAUGGGUUGUAAACUACUUUUAUACAGGAAGAAACACUGGUAUGUAUACCAGCUUGACGGUACUGUAGGAAUAAGGACCGGCUAACUCCGUGCCAGCAGCCGCGGUAAU